UGUUCAGUUCAUGACACUGGCUGUCGUAGC
rnacentral:piRNA from 1 species